CAGACACCAGGUUAUCAUAGUCUCUAGACAGCCUUCUCUCAGGGACCAGUCCACUCCCAUCUCUACAGCCUCCUCUAGGUCCCUGUAACAGACACCAGGUUAUCAUAGUCUCUAGACAGCCUUCUCUCAGGGACCAGUCCACUCCCAUCUCUAGGGCCUCCUCUAGGUCCCUGUAACAGACACCAGGUUAUCAUAGUCUCUAGACAGCCUUCUCUCAGGGACCAGUCCACUCCCAUCUCUACAGCCUCCUCUAGGUCCCUGUAACAGACACCAGGUUAUCAUAGUCUCUAGACAGCCUUCUCUCAGGGACCAGUCCACUCCCAUCUCUACAGCCUCCUCUAGGUCCCUGUAACAGACACCAGGUUAUCAUAGUCUCUAGACAGCCUUCUCUCAGGGACCAGUCCACUCCCAUCUCUAGGGCCUCCUCUAGGUCCCUGUAACAGACACCAGGUUAUCAUAGUCUCUAGACAGCCUUCUCUCAGGGACCAGUCCACUCCCAUCUCUAGGUCCCUGUAACAGACACCAGGUUAUCAUAGUCUCUAGACAGCCUUCUCUCAGGGACCAGUCCACUCCCAUCUCUACAGCCUCCUCUAGGUCCCUGUAACAGACACCAGGUUAUCAUAGUCUCUAGACAGCCUUCUCUCAGGGACCAGUCCACUCCCAUCUCUACAGCCUCCUCUAGGUCCCUGUAACAGACACCAGGUUAUCAUAGUCUCUAGACAGCCUUCUCUCAGGGACCAGUCCACUCCCAUCUCUAGGGCCUCCUCUAGGUCCCUGUAACAGACACCAGGUUAUCAUAGUCUCUAGACAGCCUUCUCUCAGGGACCAGUCCACUCCCAUCUCUACAGCCUCCUCU